CCUACGGGAGGCUGCAGUGAGGAAUAUUGGUCAAUGGGCGCAAGCCUGAACCAGCCAUCCCGCGUGAAGGAUGAAGGUCCUAUGGAUUGUAAACUUCUUUUAUACACCAAGAAAAACACCCACGUGUGGGUGCCCGACGGUAGUGUAUGAAUAAGCAUCGGCUAACUCCGUGCCAGCAGCCGCGGUAAUACGGAGGAUGCAAGCGUUAUCCGGAUUCAUUGGGUUUAAAGGGUGCGUAGGCGGCUUUUUAAGUCAGUGGUGAAAUCUUGCCGCUUAACGGUAAAAUUGCCAUUGAUACUGAUAAGCUUGAGUACAAUUGAGGUAAGCGGAAUGUGUAGUGUAGCGGUGAAAUGCUUAGAUAUUACACAGAACACCGAUUGCGAAGGCAGCUUACUAAACUGUUACUGACGCUGAUGCACGAAAGCGUGGGGAGCAAACAGGAUUAGAUACCCCGGUAGUC
rnacentral:rRNA from 1 species